GCCUCCUCGCCUGUGGGCUUGUCUCUCACAAGUGUCCUAUCUCAACAAAUCUAUUUCUGGCCUUUCCCUUUGUCUCCCGAUGACCUCCCUCUGCGCUGAGACACAAAGAACAGUGAAGCUCAGGGAGUCCGGACACCAGCUUGAGUUGAGCCAAGUUGGCAUUUCCUGACCCGGUUCUCCAAUUCUGGGGCUGAGCGCCGUCUGAAGCCCGCAGACCCUUCUGCACUGAAAAUACACAAGGAAUAGCUACCGAGUGAUUCAGCUGAUAUUAUCCAGCAGCGUUUUGGCCUGCGGCUGACCCGGUCCGACCUGCCAGGUCCUGGUCCCAAAGGCUGCUAGAUGGUCAGAGGAAUCUUCGGCAUCCAGGGUUUGUGGAGACCUCCUGCCCCACGAGGUGGCAACCUCCAGCCCAUUCUGGCUUCACGUGCCACUCUGCGCAGAUUUUCUGAAACAGACGGCAAGUGUCCAAAACACCCCUGUGGGUUUUCCAUGUGGAGCCGAUAACAAAGGCGCUUUCCUCCCUCUUGCAAAGACCUGCUCACCCAUCUGGUUUCCAUUUGUGUCCAGAAAAGGGUUAAUGACAACUGGAGGGAGGGUUCUGUUGACUUGGUGGGGCUUUGCAGGAGUCCAGUUUCUCCCAGCAGCGGAGUUCCAUCCAAAGCAACCCAGGGGGCUGAGGAGGGCGGCUCCUGCACUGCGACAGGACUCUCCAGGAGCAGGAGGAACAUGGCACGGAGAUCUGGAAAUUUCGGCAACGGCGGCAGCGGCGAUAACGGUGCUGCCGCCGGGGAGAGUGUCUGCAGAGAGCACGGCCGGAGUAGCAACGGACCGGCACGUUCAUAACUUAAUGAACAUCACGUUUCUGUAACUGGAUAAGGCCCGGGCCCAGGCCUGUAACAUCCCUGGUCUAAAUGUGAUACAAAUUGGACACAGACGCCUGGGCCCUUUGGCAAACGCUCACCCGGGGAUUAUUUUCAUAGAGACUUGACUUCUGACUGGACUUCAGUCUUGUGAAGCUGGGCUUCUUUUUCCGAUGGCUGAUUCCCAAAAUUAACACCUUUGACUUGUCCUUGCUGGUCCCACUGAAGGUUUCCAAGAAUGUGACAUCCUUUCACCCACAAAGACGAGCGCUGGGACGUGUUGGCUGGGGCAUUUUCAGUAAUUGCUUCCUUAAGGGCUGACAUGAGAAAGGAAUUAUUCACAUGAGGCCAAAAGGAACCAGUUUUCAGAAGGGCCGCUCUCCAGGCUUGAAUUAAGCAGACGUGUCUAGGAGUUCCCUUGUGGCUCAGCAGGUUAAGGACCUGCUGUCACUACAGCACCUUGGGUCGCUCCUGCCGAGGUGGGUUUGAUCCCUGGCCCAGGAACUUCCACAUGCCACAGGUGUGGCCAAAAAAAAAGCAGACUUGUCUACAUCUCACUGUUAUGAUAUUAAGAAAAUGAGCCAGAGUGUUUGAUCUCUUUGUGUUUUCUGUGAAUGCUAUUAUGCUAAUACAAUGUCUUCUUUGG